GGGCGCCAUUUUGUGAGCGGUCGGAGCUCGGCUGGUGCUCGCUGGCUGCCUUUCCUGGACCUUGGCAUCUCCUUGCUGACUGGAAGGACCAGGAUUUUCAGGACUGGACCCAGAUGGCACAUCUCCAGAAACAGCAUCUUGCAAAGGCUAAUUUUAGAUAUGUGCCAGAAUGAUGCUUCUGCAUGAGGAACAGAAAAAUAGCUGCCCACAGCCAUCUUUCUCAGAGUGCACCUUCUUUUUCACAGUAGCCUAUUCAGUUUCUCAAGAACUGUACCCACAUAAGGAGAAUCUUCCCUUCCCCUGAAGCAGGACGGAUGGUACCCACCCUAUUAUUCAUUCUGCUUGGACUGCCACAGCAAUGAUCCCUGCACUGGCCAAAAUCAGAAUCCAUAACAUAAUCAUAGGGCCCCUGUAGGAAAUUUGUUUAUUGCAACAGCAUGGCAUGCUGUGGGAGAACUUCACCAACAAAUCCCCCUACUCCUCACUGCAAACCAUAAGAUGUAAAAAAUGCAUUUUACCUGAACUGAGAUGUGGGCGUCAUCUCCUGGUAAAAACAUUUUAUUCCCCUUUUUUUUCCAUUCAAGGUGUGGCAUAGGAUAGGCUGACACCUCACAGCCAAAAAUGACAUCGUUGCCUGUGAAAUUCUGGACAUCUUGGGGUGGCAUAGAAAUCACAGGAGCUGCAAAGACCCAACAGUAUUGCUUUAGGAGACCGUGAGCGAAAGCCAACACAAAAGGAUGUAACACCAGCCCUUGUUUUAGGUAACUUUUCCACCUCACAUGUUUGGAAGACCAAAAGAUUCCAAGCAGCUUUUAAAGCUCAGAAAACUUCACAUCGCAUUGAAGUGUGAACAGGUGAAAGGUGCCCGGAGUAAUAAUGUAAAGAAUGAGAGCAGCACAUGAGCAGGAGACAGUAUUCCCUCUUACAGCCUGACAAGUCCUUCCACUAACAGUCACCAUGGAGGGGCAUUUAUUCACUAAAUGUACCACCAUGGUCAGAAAAAGGAAGAAACUCAAAGCUGCAAAGAGCAGGAAGUCAGUCUGCAGGAGCUGCAACGGAGAAAUGUGCAACUCCUGGAGAAAGCUGAUAGGUGCUGAAUGUCGUCUCGAAACCCUUUCCCUCCAAGAGGUUGCAAGAGGUCCUAGGAGGUGGGAGACCUGACAGCUGACAGUAGCCUCAGGUGAGUUCCUAAGUAACUGACUGCCCCUCAGAUGCUGUCUCUCUGGAGCUUCACAAGGGGUUUAAAGGAGAUUUAGUUUUUGUCUCAGAGUGACAGGAAUGCAUGUGCCAGAAGCCAAUAUUUCUGGAAAGGAGAAUUCGUCUAUGUCCACUGUCUGAGUAAACUGACAAACAAAAAUAAAGCAGAAAAUCACAUGGGUAAGGCUCUAAACAAAAACAUACAUGAUUACAGCAGACUUUAAUUAUUGUCAGAUCUUUCAUAGAGAUGUUGAAGUUUGUAAAUUCCCUCACCUUCAUAGAUGGACACAUUCUCCUGCCCCAUGUAUGCAUGUGUGCACAACACAUUCAAGGUAACUGGAUGCACAGAAAGGAGAGCAGCCUUGGCUACUAGCUAAUUUUAAAAGAGCACAACCUUUUAAGCUGGGGCAUGCUUUUGAAAGCUUAAAGCAUGCUCACCACUCUACACAAGCAUUACAGACUGUUCUUUGAAUAGUGAAAUGCACAGAGCCAACGUACCACCAAAGUAGGGCCUGAGGUAUUUGUUGUAUCCCAUCGUGAGGUUCUUAAAUCCAGGGAGGGAUGUUGCGUCACUGCCACCCAAACUGGACACAUGUCCAAGUGAGCAUUUCCUGAGGACACAAAUAAUGUACUGCUAAGUAUGUGGCCAGGCAUGCUGGGCACAUCAGGUGUGCAGCUGCAUCCCCAGCCUGUGUUCAAAGAAGCAAAUUACUUAAAAUAUUUAUUUAAAAAAGUACAUCAUUGAAAUAAUGAACAUUUACUGACACUGCUUACCUUGGCUGAAUAAUUAAUACCUUAGAGGGGUGGGAAUACAGCAAAUAGCCUGAACAAAUAAUCUCUGGUUUCCAGACAGUGGCUUAAGGACAUUCUUAAAAGGCAAAUCAAGCAAGGGCAAUAUAUCACAAAGCUUAAUAGUAACCUGCAAUCUCCCCUUCUCAUUCCUCCUCAUAAAAUGUAUACAAGGAACCUUUUUCCUCCUACAUACAAUAUAACCCAGGACAAAUCUUACUGCCCAACAGCUCCUCCUUCUUAAUCAUCAUUCCCAUAAGCAAGCUUUCAUCCUUAUUUGUUAGCAUUGGGCAGCAUCCCAACAGCUGCCAGAGUGAAGCCUCUAAGAAUGCCAAGAAGUGGAGAGGUAAAACAGUGAGCUCUUCACAGACAGCAAGGCAGCACCGUGAGCAGGACUACCACUCCAAAUUACCACUACAUAUCAAAAUUAACAUUUUCUGUACUGAAGAUACAGCAGAUACGUGGCACUGUGAGGUUCCCAGAGCUGUGCCAUCCUGUAAAUAGAAAGCUACAGAGUUUGGAGGCCAUAAAAAAGGUGCCAUGGUGCAGUGUGCUUGUGGAGGCAGGUGUUCACUUGAUGAAAAUGUGAGUGAGCCAUUAUGAGUUUGAUACUGCUCUGUGAAGGGCUGAAGGAGGUGCUGCCUCUCUCCAGAGACUCAGGACUGCUGGCCUGUCCUUUAAAGCUGGGUUAAUAGUCCUUGGACGCUUGCUGAAGAUUUUAGAUCAAAAAGAAGCUUACAGCAGAACUGAGUAGUUAUUGUGCAGCAUUAGCUAUAUUAGAGCCUUUAGAACUUGACUGCAGUCAGGGAUGGCAGUAACAGCUGGAAGAAAUGGGGUGGAAGAGGACACUGAGCAAAACCACCACAAUUUCCUGCUCUUGAACAGAGAAAAAGAGCUUGCAUUAUCAAUGUACAUUAUAUUUUGGGAACCUGUGCAGGUUGCUCCCUCUGCCUGACCCCUUAAUGCACCCAACUUCCUAUGAGUGAGCUGUAAAACUGGAAGCAUUGUUUCCUUUUGAUCCACAUUACUUAUGUUAAUUGUAAUUCAUAUGACCUGUAAAGCAAAACAAACGCUCUACUUGCCUUUGUGUUUGAAGGAAAAGACACAGACUGAAGAAGCAGAAAUAUCUGCAGAACAUCUCCGGAGAUUAUUUCAGUAUUUGCUCUGCUCUUCUGUGAAAGAAAAGGAGAUUUUUGUGAUUUAAGGAAAACUAUUUGCUUAGGAACAUGAUUUAGUGGAGGGCUGUUAGAGUUAGGGUAGUAUGGUUGGGUUGCGGUUGGACUUGAUGAUCUUUAAGGUCUUUUCCAAUCUGAGCAAUUCUAUGAUUCUAUUUUAGGUGAAGGGGCUGGAAAAGAAGUGCUGCACAGAGUCAGAAUCCCACACAGCAAAAUGUUUAACAUCCUCAACACACAGUGACACCUGCUUUUUCCAUCUAGCUCAAACCAUGCUAUGUUUGCACUUCCCUCAUAAAAGAUACUCCGUUCCAAAAGUCCUUUUGCAAGCUCACCAGACUUUGGUUACCACUGUUGCACUCCAUUAGCUUGUACCCGAAGCAGCCCAUGCUAUUAGUAGUAGCAUUGGUGAGUCACUCAGCAUGCAGCACUGGAUGAAAUCAUUCUACUUCAAAUGGGUUUCGUUGACCUUUCUGGGAGUGGAACCAACUCCUGGAUUCUGGCCUGGAACUCCCACAGGCUCAUGAUUGUGCCACAAUGGGCAACUCUGUCCAUGCUCUGCUCUGCAUCCCUGCUCUCUGCCUGAAAGGCUGCAUCAACUGCACACCUUUAUUGGGGGUAUGGAUAACUGCCACACAACUGUGUGCUCUCACAGCAAGCUGCUGCUGCAACAGGGUAAUGAAGGCACAGCUGCCAAGGGGGAACUGCCACUGGACCAUCACUAGUUUGAGCUGGAAAUACAACACUGCUUGACCACUAGACUGUUCAAAGUGUACCUCAAUGUAUCAGUUUUCCUACAGGUAGUGGCAAAGCAACAUCAUUCUUACAUGUAAGUUUUCCUCUCCGUCAGACUGUCACAAAUUGGGAAUGGCUGUACGAAUCAUCAGUCCCUGAGCCCUGACUUGCACAACUGUGAAUGAGCACUUCAACUUCAAACGUGGCUACUCCAUAGUAACCCACGGGUUGGGAAUUUUCCUGCUUGGGUUAGAGUCUUUCUGCAGCAGCUCAAAACAGCCCAGAGGACACUGUGCCUUCUCAGCUAACUGUACAGCUCUGGUGCAGUGGAACAGUCGUGCACCAGGCAGCAGGGACAUCUUUGUCUAUACACAGCCAGUGACAAUACCUGAACGUUCAAAGCACCACGAAUGCAGGGCCAUACAACAAGAGUCCCACUGGAGAAAGGCAGGAUAUAUUUCAAAGUAAAAUAUGCUCUCAUAUCUGCCUAACAUCUGAAUUCCUAAUAAGUCUUUGCGCUUUUUGUCCUAACAUGGUGUUUGGAUGUUUCCAGAUGUUCCCAACAGCUCCUCAGGACCAUGUAAUCAUAGAGGGCUAGAGAGAUUAAUCAUCUACCUGUUCACACAGCAUUAGACCACAAUUUUGAUGAGAAAAGAAGGAUCAGUGCAGUAAAGUAAGAAAGGGUGAUUUAACAAACCAGCAUGUGAUUAAGUAUAAAAACUGAUAAAUUUCAGCUGAGGAACCCUUCAUGGACAACCCUCAUGGGCAUCCAUUUUGCAAAGGAGUUGCAAUUCCUAGCAUUUUGGUGCAUCCGUUUCUGAAUUUCAUUCUGUCUGUCUAUCCCAGUUACUGAGACCUUGUUUUGAAAAAAAAACAAGUCAAAUUCUAUUUGUUUUGAUGACUAAUGCACAGAGGCCUCUUAUGUAGUAAAAAGCAUUCCUGUAAAGCCUUGUUUAUGGCUCUUGUUAACUGAAAUGCACACUGCAACGUGUGUUACUUCUAUCUAGCAAAGACAGCAGAUUGAAACAAACCAAACCAACCUGGAUAAAUCUCUAACUGCUGCUUCCACAAACCCGAAUGAACUCCACAGUCCUGUUUUCCUCCUUCCAAACACAGCUGUGAAGACAAGUAUAUCAAGAGUUGGGAAGCAGUGAUCUGUAAGUACCCAAGAGAGCUAGAAACUCAAUGUGCCAGAGCACUCACAAGGCCAGAAAAGGGUGACAUCUGUGCCUAAAACUGAAUAUCACAAACGCAGUUUUCAGCUAUGUACUGAAAUAUAGAGAGAGAAGUGCCAAAACUGUGAGACUGUGCUUUUUGUGGAAGCCUAAGAAUUAUACUGUAUCAGGAAGCAGAACUACAAUUCUGCUUUUAUAGUUCAGAAGCUUUCAUCAGAGAUUACUAACUUCAUUACUACAGUAUGCUGGGAAGGAACAGUUUUAAGAUUGUGCAUUUAUGCUUCUCUAUUUAGUAAGGGAUUACAAUGGACUUUUAACAGAAAAAGAAACUUAGACACUGUUAAAUCUUGACAUUUUGUAUGUAAUAGCACAGCGCAGGCAAUACCAGUAGUUGUGAAAGCUUUGCUUCCAACACCAGUGUUACCUAAAAUCAUUUAUUGCAUAUGUUUAUUGCAUAUGCUCAGAAAUAAAGAAAGCCUUGAGAACUUAACAGCUCACCCAGCUCCAUGCUCUUCCUACUGACAGGGAAUUAUUCAAAGAUGCAAGUAUUACAGCAAAACACGCAAGCAGACUCCUCAGGAGUUGAGCCUGCAUCUGCUUCCAUAGAAGUUCAUGAAAUAAUGCUUAUUUACACCAGCCAAGACCAUAUGUAUAAGCCUCCACUAUUACUCAGUUCUAUGUUCCUUAAUUCUACUGCAUUCCUUUAAUCUGGAAGGCUGUUAAGAGUGAAAACCCAAAAGGAGAAAUAUGAUAGUAGAGAGGUGUACACUGACACCUGGUGGAGCCCGGAUAGCUUUGCACUGCCGUCAGCAUCACCCACAGCGAUCCACUCCUCAUCAAGCAGAUACACAGCAAGGGAAACAGAAAGCUCUACAGGCCCACACUACCUCCCACUUCACAGGUGAAAGCCCCAUCUGUGCCUCACUGCACAGAGCAGAAGAUCAGCACAUUCUCUGAUAUUCUCAGGGCAAAUGACAUCCCAAAGCCAGGCAGAAGGAGCUGUUGCAAGAAUCUGAAAAACCAGCUACAAGAGCAGACCCACAGGAGGAGUCAGUGAUCUGCAGGCAGUAAUAGUGGCUGAGGGAAUUGGGAUGGAAAGCAUCAUGACACCCUCACUGGGAGUUUCCAGCUUCGUGACGCUGCUCCAUCCCAUGCCGAGCUUUCUUUGGCCACUCCUGUGAUUGCAGUUGCUAAGUACAAUUAUAAAUCCAUGAAAGAAGAAGAGCACUGUGGAUUUUGGGAUCAAAUUUAACAGGCUCUGUAGAAGCCAAGAUAUUACAUCCAGGUCAGCAAGUUUAUUUAGAAGAGGUUUGAGUGACUGAAGCCUAACAAUCUGCCUUUAAAAAAAAAUAGCACUUCUUCCCCUGCCCACUGUGAAUUAUGGACAGCUGUCUGAUCUUGAAUAAUUAGUUUGGGGAUGUGGGUGGGAAGGGAAUUUUGUAUGGAAGGGUUCAUAGCACAACCUGCUCUUGGCACAGCUGCAGCCAACAAGCUGUAUAUUUUGAUGAUUAUGACAGCUGUUCAAAUUUUAAUUUACUGGCCAGACAAGUCAUGAAAGUUUUAUUUUCAGUUCAUUCAAAAUGAUUUGCCUGUCAAGUACCUCAAAUUUAGAGUUAACUUGAAAUUAUUUCUUUUUUCCUUUUUUUUUUUUUUUUUUUUUUUAAUGUUGCCCAGAGAAGUGGUGGAUGCCCUGGCCUUGGAGACACUCAAGGUCAGGCUGGAUGGGGCUCUGAGCACCUGAUGUAGUGUACGUGUCCCUAUUCAUUGCAGGGAGUUGGACGAGAUGACCUGUAAGGUUACCUCCCAGCUCAAAUGGUUCUGUCAUUCUAUGUUAAAUAUCUUUUUUGUCAGGCCAGGAGAAAACAUGGAACUACUACAAGGAAGAGAAAAAUUAAACAAGACAAUGUGCCACAUAUUUCUGCAAGCCACUCCUACUGGAAACCUCACAGAUUUGAUGCUAAAAAUCAACGUAUACAGAAUUAACCUUAUUUUUACAGAACUAAGUAGUUAGUGAGGUCCUGUUGUGUGUCAACAGAUACAUAAGUUCAGCCCUCAGCUGGUCAGGACCAAAGGCAACAUCAGAUGUGGAUGCAGGGAAAGGGGAUGAGACAUGGAGCAGCACCACACAAGCUGGUAAUACCAAAAUGAAUUGUCUGAAUUUUUAACUUUGAUUAUUUUAUUUUUUUUUUGCUUUAAUAUUUUUUAACUAAAGGCAGUGAGAAGACUUCCAAGUCUGCUAACAAAGCACACUGCCAUGAAGUCUUUCCUAUUUUAGCCUUCUGUCCAAAUCUCAAAUUCAUUUCAGUUUUUUUUUCUAAACAAAACACUUAAUUUCUUCCCCUUUGAUUUCCCUGUUUGAAGAACUCAAAUUUCAGCCUGCUUGUCCGAUAACAGGACAAAUGAAGGAGAACACCAGCAGCCCAAUUUCUGCCUGGAACAGCAGGAGGCACAUGCUGAAGCUGUUAGCCUCAGCUCAGCAAGGCACGUGCCAGGCAGAUGCCAGCUUCCAUAACCUGCUUUUUGCUGUUCACUUGCCUUCAGUGGUUAUCAGCAAUCACGGACAGGUAAACAGGUGACUUCAUCAUAGCCACAGAAAUUUCAAGAACUUCCGUGAACUUUUGCUAUUGGUAAAAAGUGGAUUCUUUCCAUCCACACCACUGUCAUGACAUCACAUGAAAAAUGACCUCUCAGUUCCAGGAACAGCAGCACCACCGAGGGCCUCGCUGAGGCUGCUGCACACACCCUGCUUGCUUGAGGCAGCCCUUGCUGUGUUUCAGUGUGAGGCAGAGCUCGGUGCUGUGUGGGACCAGCCCCUGUGUAUGCACAGGAUCACACAGUGGGGAUGGGGCAGGAGCUGCACCAGAAGGCAGCUGUCCCAAGGGCCUGGCUGCACUAACACAACAUAGUAUAUAGACUCUGCUUUGUGAGCUAGCACUUGGAGUGCCACAGACUUUUAUACACACUGAUCUCACAGAUAGUACUGUUAGUUUAGGGCAGUAUGAGAGCAGGGAAGCUCUCUUGUUACUUACAUGACACCAUAUGCUGCAGGUCUGGUUCUUGUCUUAU